rnacentral:rRNA from 1 species
GGUUGAUCCUGCCAGUAGUCAUAUGCUUGUCUCAAAGAUUAAGCCAUGCAUGUCUAAGUAUAAAUAAAUUUAUAUUGUGAAACUGCGAAUGGCUCAUUAAAUCAGUUAUGAUCUACGUGACAUAUUCUUUACUACUUGGAUAACCGUGGUAAUUCUAGAGCUAAUACAUGCAAAAAAACCCUGACUUACGAAAGGGUGCACUUAUUAGAUAAAGCCAACGCUGGGUAAAACCAGUUUCCCUUGGUGAUUCAUAAUAAUUUAGCGGAUCGCAUGGCCUUGUGCUAGCGACAGU